rnacentral:tRNA from 1 species
GGCGGUGUAGCUCAGCUGGCUAGAGCGUACGGUUCAUACCCGUGAGGGCGGGGGUUCGAUCCCCUCCACCGCCACUA